UAAAUUAGAAUAAAAAAGUAACAUUUUUUCUUUGAUGACUCAAUUAUUUAUUUAAUAUUAACAAUAUUACCUCCAUAUCCAACUUAUGAAUCACAAAUUUGAGUGAACUUAUGAAUGAUUCAAAUUUGAGUCAACUUAUAAAUCAAAGGUCCAAGACAUUUUAAUCACCUUGAAAUGGUGGAAGCACUUAAAUAUUGAUCUCCUAAGGAGAGUUAAGGGCUUAUAAGGAUACUAGAUAGCCUUUGCUCGUGCUAAGUACGGGCAUUAACCCAACAUCGUUGUAUAAGAAAGGUCUGAUACUGCGAAAGAAAACUUCAAACUAGUCUAAUUGCUAAGAAAAUUUUUUCAAAAGAAAGGAUCGUAUGAUCAAGGUGAAUAAAUAUUACAUAAUAUACUUCACACCAUUUAUCUUUAUUUUCAAAAAAAAUGUCGUUCUACAUCCUUGAGCUUGUAAAUAUAAGAGAUAAAGUAGUCUGAUUUUUCAUGUUCUUGUUGGUGUCACCAUGCCACAAUUGGACAAAAUUUGAGUCUUAAUAAUUGGAAUUGAUAGUACGUACUGAAACAAAAAAUUUCAAGCAUCAGAAUCAAAAAUAAACAUACCAAACUAAAAUUUGGAUGAUAAAUGCUUAAGUAAAAGAGAGGGUUAGCCUUUUAUUAUAGAAAGGGUGACAAUCUCAAGGAAUUUGUUCUUUAUUCACGUAAUUAAUUUAUGCAAUCAAUGUGAUGAUGACCUAUAUUUAUCAGCUACUAUUACCACAUUAUUUUGCCUCUAUUAUGGAUACUUAAAGUUUUAAAACACAAUGUAACUAAUAACAGAACAUGAAAGUAUAUUUUAAUACAAAUUCUGUCAUGAAAAAAGUGUGAAGAAUAAAACUUACUCAUCACUACAGCCCUCACAUUGAACCAUGAAGUUAUCAAGCUUGUAUAUCAUUGGAGAUCUUAAACCUUUAUCACUAUGCAUGCAUAUGCAGUAUCUAUAUAAUUAGGACAAAAAACUGAUAAACAAAAAAUAAUAAUCUACUGAUAUUUGUUGAUUUUAUAUCAUUUAUCAUUAUUUUUGUUUUACAGGAAUAAUAUCCACAGGUAAGAGUGAUGCGGUUGACAUCUGUAUAAAAUUUGACAAGGCAAUGAGGGGACAAGGCGAAGGUGGUAAAAGUUUGAACUAAGUCUUAGUUUUCUUACUCACCCAUCAACUUAAUUUCUAGGUAGUUGUUUACUGAUAGUAUGUACUUAUUUCUCAUUUAUCACUUUCAUUCCCUACUUAUAUAUAUAUAUAUAUAUAUAUAUAUAUAUUCAUGUCAAAUAUUCAUUGCAGGCUCGCAAUCAACAAUAUGACAAUACAUGGCGUUAGUAAUUUUUCAAAUUUUCUCUAACAUGUGGAGGAUGAAAAUGCCUUGGAGUGCGCAUGAGAAAUUAAUACAUAAUCCAAUUAAUAUAAUUUUUUAAUCUAGUACCUCUAUACAAAAUUCUUUACCUAGUGAUUAUAAUCGGAUCGUAAAAGAAAAUAGAAGGCACCGGCCAUUAGCCGAAAUAGAAAUACAAACUAUAAAAUAGAAAUGUAACAUAGAAAAUCUAUUAGCAAUAAAUAUGCAUACCGUUUUUAUACACAAAUCAAGGAUCUUGCAAAAACCAAGAAGUAGACAUCCAUAAAUUUAAAAAUUCAGACCUCUCCCUUUCUAACUAAAGUGGUUGAACAUUACAAUUGAAGAAAAGUUUAAAAGUUUGACCAUCUCUUACACUAUUGAAGAGGCUUUUGGAUUUCAAAUCCUUCUUCACCAAGAAAAGAAUAAAAGUUUAGAAGUUCAAUUCUCUUAAACUAUUGAAGAGACUUUUGGAUCUCAAAUGCUUCUUCAUCAAGAACAGAAUGCAUGGCACCAUGCACAAUAGUAUGCAAAGAACUUAAGAAUGUUUGGUGUCAACCAAAGUAAACAUCAACUUAUUUAUUGAAUUGCAAAAAGAAGUAAUCCACAUAUGCAAAUAUAUUUGUUGUCACCUCACAGUAAACAAAGAAUCAUACUCUAAUACCACAAAGCUAGUCGUUUACAACUUUGUAGUAGUGAAAUUACGUAGUUGAAAACAAUGAAAUAGAAUUCACUUCAUUUAUCACCAAAGUAGAUGUGCUUCCGUUGUCCGUUCUUUGAACUAUUUCAAUCAUAUUUGAUUCUUUGUUCACCACAUAAAUACAUAAAUAGUACUUCAAAAAUAAUUUUAUUAAUUAAAAACAUGUUUCACAUUCUCUUUCCCAACAAACAUAGAAUUUAAGAAAAUAAUGUCCAAUGUCUACUCUUCAUUUUGAGCUCACCUUAGUUUAUCAGCAUUAUUUUCCUUACUACAAGCUCAAUUAUUUCUUGUUUUUAGUAAACUCUUCAAAAUUAGAACAAAAUGCAUCACUUCUGAUUUUUAGGAAAAGCUAAAAUAACUCCCUUUUCUCAUCUACUUCAAUUUAUCUAGAAAAUAAGUUAAUAGGUAAUAAAAAUAAUUGACUAGGCAUAAGUUUAUUACUGGUCUUUGCGAUUUUGAUUAGCUGUGUUGAAGAACUUAGAAGAAGAGGAAAAAUCUCUGAGAAAGUACCUCACUACAGUACUCUCAGAUCUCGUCACGACCUCCCAAUGAUCGUUGUUUUAAAAGAAAUCUAGACAUUUGAGACCAAAUUUUCAAAAGAGAUGAUGCAUAAGCAGAAUUGAAUAAGAAAAGAUCCAAAAGCACAAGGGAAAACAUAAAAUUAGGAAAAAAUUAUGUACCUCCCUUUCUAUUCUAAUUGUAAUUUUUCAAACUCAUAGCAAAAUUUCACCAUUGUUUCUCAUAAAGAGCCGAGUUACACCACUUUCCUGCAUAUAUCUGAUCUUCUAACCCUGAAAGGUCAGACAAAAAAAAAGUCUUAGGAAGAUUGAAAAAAGAAAGUUUCUUUGAAAGUGGCAAAUCUAUUAACACUCAAUAAUAAUUUCAAUCUCAUAUUCUUAUGGCUUAUGAGAUUAUAUGCCAUCUUUUCAAAUUAUAUUUACGCUCAGUAAUUAUAUGUGGUUAGUAUACAAAUGCCUCAUUGCUCUUUUCCCUAAUAUGUGUUUUCUAGUUUCCUGAAUGAUAAAUAUUUUAUCCUGCUAAAAAUGAUGUUGAGUUUGACAAAAAUCUCAUUUAGAUAACGCAGUACAGUGAAAAGGGGAUAAAAAAGAAACAUUAUCAAAGCGAGUCAACAUGUUGAAACGAAAAGCUAUAUCAUAGAGCAGUUAUCUGAAGAGAAGAAGUAAAACACUUUAUCAAAAUCUUUUAGACAUAUAAUUAGAUAUCCUAUGCGCAUCAAAUUAAUUUGGUAACACAAAUCAAGUACCAAAAUGAUAUGAUGUAUACUAUGAAAAUAUUAUUCAAAACACAGAUCAGUCAACUUUAGGGUUUAAUUCAUUUCAAUUUAAUUAUUGAAUAGGAAAAAAGAAAAAAACAUAUCAGCUUCAUAUUUAAAUAUUCAAUUGGCUGAACCUAGUGAUUUAUUGCAAAAAAUCUUAUAUAUAAACAAGAAAUUAUCAUAAAUUAAUAAACCUACAGAUACUACCUCUCAUUAUCAAUAAUUGGGGACGAAGAAAGAAUAGAGUAGAACUUAUCAAAACUAAAAAUACAGCCACGUAUGAUUGAAGAAUUAAAAUUAGGAUAGAGAAACAACAAACUACAAAGAAUGAUAGAGAGAAAAAUAGUUCUUUAACUAAAAAUUUUGAAUAUGAAGAAUUAGUGUAGGAUUAGAUAAGUUCAUUCUUUACCUCUUAAGUAAGAGUCACCCAAUACAUACUAUCGAUUAUUUUUCACUGUUAGAGCCAUUUUAUGCUUCUUUCUAUUGAGCUCACAAAGAAAAUCCAAUAUGAAAGUGGCCACUUUUCAAUUAUUUGGUCCAUCAGCUGAAAAUUUUCAAAUAUUGCAUUUCAAAACUCAAAGUCAAUAUCUUAAAAAUUUUAAUGGAAACAACAAGAAAGAGAAAUUACCAACAUGCAAUAGUUGAAGAAUCAAAAUAAUAAAGACACAGUUGACCAAGAAAAAAUAGAUACAUUGAUAUGAAUGGAAGAAUUAGAAACAACGAAGCAAUACCGAAUUCUGAAUCAAAAUAUAUCAUAACAAAAUAACACCUUGAGGGUAAAUGAUGAUUUUAAAUUUGCGAGAGAGAACAGAAGACUACAUUUACAGGUACAAAACAUUGUAGAUAGACUUUCAUAAGUGAUCUCAAAAUAUAGUCAACACAAGCAACACAGAGAACAACUCAGUCAAAAUUAGGAAAGACCAAAUACAAUAUAUUUCUCGAAUUGAAAUACAUAUAUAGAUAUAAAUCAUAGAAAAUAUAAAGAAGAUCCAAAAGUCAUCAAUGAAAUUCAUCAAAAACAAGAAAACAAAAGAGAAAGUAAAGGAACUCACCGGAGAGCUAAGCAAAUGGAUGAAAGAAGUGAAGUGAAGCAAAGGAAUGGUAAGCAGGAAAAAUGAAAGAGCUAUCAUCUGGAAAAUACAAGAGCCACAUGGAUAUGUGUUGCAUCAAUAUUAUUGGUGUAAUUUUAACCUACUGUAAUUAUAAAUAUAGCCUUCCUGCUCAUACCUUAUUCUCUAACCCUGAAAGGUUAAAUUAGAUGAAAAAAAGAAGCCUUAGAAAGAUUGAAAAAAAAAAACUUACUUUGAAAGUGACAGAUGUAUUAACACUCAAUUAUAAUGUCACUCUCAUAUUUUUGUGGCUUAUGAGUUUAUAUGCUAUCUCUUUAAAUUAUAUUUAUCCUUAAUAAUAAUAUGUAGUUAGCAUACAAAUGUUUCAUUAUUUUCCCCUAUGUGUUUUCUAGUUUCCUGAAUGUUAAAUAUUUUUUCUUGCUAAAAGUGAUGCUGCGUUCGACAAAAACCUCUUUUACGUAACGCAGUACAGUGAAAGGGGUAUAAAAAAGAAACACUAUCAAAGCGAGUCAGCAAGUUGAAACGCAAAAGCUAUAUCUUAGAGUAGUUAUCAGAAGAGAAAAUCAUUAUUCAAAUCUUUUAGGCAUAUAAUAUCUUGUAUGCGUUAAAUUAAUUGGGUAACAUAAUUCACCAAGUAUCAAAAAAUGAUAUAACGUCUACUAUGAAAAUAUUAUACAGAACACAGGUCAGUCAACUUCAGGGUAUAAUCCAUCUCAAUUUUAAUUAUUGAACGGAAAAAAAAAAAGAAAAACAAUAUCAACUUCAUAUUUAAAUAUUCAAUAUGAUGAAACUAGUGAUCUACAUUCAAACAUGCAAAAAUCUUAUAUACUAAAUAUAAAUUAUCAUAAAUUAAUAAACCUACAGAUACCACCUCUCAUUAUCAAAACAACUAGGGACAAAGAAAGAAUAGAGUAAAAUUUAUUAAAACUAAAAAUAUAGCCAUAUACGAAUAACAAAUUGAAAUAAGGAUAGAGAAACAACAAAUUACAGAUAAUGACAAAGAGAAAAAUAAUUCCUUAAUUAAAAAUUAUGAAUAUGAAGAAUUAGCAUAGGAUCAGAUAAGUUUAUUUUUAGCUCUUAGGUAUGAGCCACCCAAUACGUACUAUCAACAAUAUUUGAUUGUUGGAGCCAUUUUCUCCUUCUUUCUAUUGAGCUCACAAAGAAAAUUCAAUAUGAAAGUGGCCACCUUUCAAUUGUUUGGUCUAUCUAGCUGAAAAUUCUCAAACUUUCCAUUUCAGAAUCCAACGUCAAAAUCUUAAAAUUCUUAAUGAAAAUAACAAGAAAGCGAAUUUACCAACAUGCAAUAGUUGGAGAAUCAAAAAAUUAAUGUCACAAAUGACUAAGAACAAAUAGAGACACUGAUAUGAAUUAAAAAAAUUAGAAACAAUGAAGAAAUAUCGAAUUUAGAAUCAAAAUCUAUCAUAAUAAAAAUAAGAACAAUAAUUCUAAAUCAGCGAGAAAGAACAGAAGACUAAACUUGCAGGUGCAAAGAAUUAUAAAUGGACUUUCAUAAGUGAUUUAAAAAUAUAGUCAACACAUGCAACACAAAAAACAACCUAGUCAAAAUCAGGAAAGACCAAAUCCUAAAUGUUACUCAAAUUGAAACACAUAUAUGGCUACAAAAUAGAGAAAACACAAAGAAGAUCCAAAACUUAUCAGUAAGAUCCAUCAAAAACAAGCAAAAAUAAAAGAGAAAGUAGAAGAACUCACUUGAGAGUUAAGCAGAUGGAUAGAAAAAAUGAAGUGAAGCAAACGAAUGGUAAGUAGGAAAAAUGAAAGAGCC
rnacentral:lncRNA from 1 species